CAGUCGCCGCGGGAAUACAGAGGGUGCGAGCGUUAAUCGGAUUUACUGGGCGUAAAGCGUGCGUAGGCGGCUUCUUAAGUCGGAUGUGAAAUCCCUGAGCUUAACUUAGGAAUUGCAUUCGAUACUGGGAAGCUAGAGUAUGGGAGAGGAUGGUAGAAUUCCAGGUGUAGCGGUGAAAUGCGUAGAGAUCUGGAGGAAUACCGAUGGCGAAGGCAGCCAUCUGGCCUAAUACUAACGCUGAGGUACGAAAGCAUGGGGAGCAAACAGGAUUAGAUACCCCUGUAGUCCCUGUCUCUUAUAC
rnacentral:rRNA from 1 species